AGCUUGCUCCUUUGACGUUAGCGGCGGACGGGUGAGUAACACGUAGGUAACCUACCUAUAAGACUGGGAUAACUUCGGGAAACCGGAGCUAAUACCGGAUAAUAUUUCGAACCGCAUGGUUCGAUAGUGAAAGAUGGCUUUGCUAUCACUUAUAGAUGGACCUGCGCCGUAUUAGCUAGUUGGUAAGGUAACGGCUUACCAAGGCAACGAUACGUAGCCGACCUGAGAGGGUGAUCGGCCACACUGGAACUGAGACACGGUCCAGACUCCUACGGGAGGCAGCAGUAGGGAAUCUUCCGCAAUGGGCGAAAGCCUGACGGAGCAACGCCGCGUGAGUGAUGAAGGUCUUCGGAUCGUAAAACUCUGUUAUUAGGGAAGAACAAACGUGUAAGUAACUGUGCACGUCUUGACGGUACCUAAUCAGAAAGCCACGGCUAACUACGUGCCAGCAGCCGCGGUAAUACGUAGGUGGCAAGCGUUAUCCGGAAUUAUUGGGCGUAAAGCGCGCGUAGGCGGUUUUUUAAGUCUGAUGUGAAAGCCCACGGCUCAACCGUGGAGGGUCAUUGGAAACUGGAAAACUUGAGUGCAGAAGAGGAAAGUGGAAUUCCAUGUGUAGCGGUGAAAUGCGCAGAGAUAUGGAGGAACACCAGUGGCGAAGGCGACUUUCUGGUCUGUAACUGACGCUGAUGUGCGAAAGCGUGGGGAUCAAACAGGAUUAGAUACCCUGGUAGUCCACGCCGUAAACGAUGAGUGCUAAGUGUUA
rnacentral:rRNA from 1 species